rnacentral:rRNA from 1 species
UUGAGCUUGAAUCCUGGCUCAGAUUGAACGCUGGCGGCAGGCCUAACACAUGCAAGUCGAGCGGAAACGAUGGAAGCUUGCUUCCAGGCGUCGAGCGGCGGACGGGUGAGUAAUGCAUGGGAAUCUGCCCGAUAGUGGGGGAUAACCUGGGGAAACCCAGGCUAAUACCGCAUACGUCCUACGGGAGAAAGCAGGGGAUCUUCGGACCUUGCGCUAUCGGAUGAGCCCAUGUCGGAUUAGCUUGUUGGUGAGGUAAUGGCUCACCAAGGCGACGAUCCGUAGCUGGUCUGAGAGGAUGAUCAGCCACAUCGGGACUGAGACACGGCCCGAACUCCUACGGGAGGCAGCAGUGGGGAAUAUUGGACAAUGGGCGAAAGCCUGAUCCAGCCAUGCCGCGUGUGUGAAGAAGGCCCUCGGGUUGUAAAGCACUUUCAGUGGGGAAGAAAGCCUUGGGAUUAAUACUCCCGAGGAAGGACUCACCCACAGAGAGACCGCU